rnacentral:rRNA from 1 species
UACAUAGGUCUCAAGCGUUGUUCGGAUUCAUUGGGCGUAAAGGGCGCGUAGGCGGCGCCGUAAGUCAGGUGUGAAAUUUCGGAGCUUAACUCCGAAACUGCAUUUGAUACUGCGGUGCUUGAGGACUGGAGAGGAGACUGGAAUUUACGGUGUAGCAGUGAAAUGCGUAGAGAUCGUGAGGAAGACCAGUGGCGAAGGCGGGUCUCUGGACAGUUCCUGACGCUGAGGCACGAAGGCCAGGGGAGCAAACGGG